rnacentral:rRNA from 1 species
CCUACGGGCGGCAGCAGUGAGGAAUAUUGGUCAAUGGACGAAAGUCUGAACCAGCCAAGUAGCGUGAAGGAUGACUGCCCUAUGGGUUGUAAACUUCUUUUAUAUGGGAAUAAAACAGGGUAUGCAUACCCUCUUGUAUGUACCAUAUGAAUAAGGAUCGGCUAACUCCGUGCCAGCAGCCGCGGUAAUACAGAGGAUCCGAGCGUUAUCCGGAUUUAUUGGGUUUAAAGGGAGCGUAGGUGGAUUGUUAAGUCAGUUGUGAAAGUUUGCGGCUCAACCGUAAAAUUGCAGUUGAAACUGGCAGUCUUGAGUACAGUAGAGGUGGGUGGAAUUCGUGGUGUAGCGGUGAAAUGCUUAGAUAUCAGGAAGAACUCCGAUGGCGAAGGCAGCUUACUGGACUGCAACUGACACUGAUGCUCGAAAGUGUGGGUAUCAAACAGGAUUAGAUACCCUAGUAGUC